GACGAACGCUGGCGGCGUGCUUAACACAUGCAAGUCGAACGGAAAGGCCCUGCUUUUGUGGCGUGCUCGAUUGCCGAACGGGUGAGUAACACGUGAGUAACCUGCCCUUGACUUUGGGAUAACUUCAGGAAACUGCGGCUCAUACCCGAUAGGAUCUCCUGCUGCAUGGUGGGGGUUGGAAAGUUUCGGCGGUUGGGGAUGGACUCGCGGCUUAUCGGCUUGUUUGGGGGGUAGGUGCUUUCCAAGGGUUUGACGGCUAGCCGGCCUGAGAGGGUGACCGGCGACAUGGGGACUGAGAUACGGACCAGACGCCUACGGGAGGCAGCAGUGGAGAAUAUGGCACAAUGGGCGGAAGCCUGAGGCAGCAACGCCGGGUGCGGGAAGACGGCCUUCGGGUGGUAAACCGCUGUCGCCGGUGACGAAGCGUGAGUGACGGUAAUGGGUAAAGAAGCACCGGCUAACUACGUG
rnacentral:rRNA from 1 species